rnacentral:rRNA from 1 species
CAUACCACCCUGAGCACAUCUGAUCUUGCCUGAUUUCAGAAGCAAAGCAGGGUUGUGUCUGGUUAGUACUUUCCUGGAAGGCCA